GGUAGGGGGCGGGCUCCGGCGCUGGGACCCCGCUCGGGUGGUGCCUUG
rnacentral:miRNA from 1 species